GCAGCUCCUGGCAUCAGCUCCCACUGCUCAGAAACCACCGAGAGCGCCUCACUUCUUAUCUCUCCCAGCACUUCAGAGUGGGGCAAGUCUCCUUCCCUGCAUGAGAGUAAUUUGGGCUGAGUAGAUGUUUGUGGGAUAAAAGUGCAAGGUGCUGGUCUCCACCUCUCCAGGGUUAAUUAAAAAUCCCGGUCCAGACUUCAGAGACUGAAGGUCUACAGGGGCAAGCAACAAAGCACAUGCAGAUUUCCAGGCUGAGUAUGCGUUGCUGGGGCCGUGGCUGCAAAGAGAAGCAACUGUGUGGGCAGCUGAUGAGGAGUCUGUCCAGCUGCCAUCACGUCUUGCUGGUGCACAAAGGAAUGACAGCAGCUGGAGACAUCUCCAGGGUUUUGUCUAGAAAAGUGAGACGAGGAGGCUUUAUCACAUGCUCAGCUGAAUUGCCGUAAAUGGGAUAACAGCUGGAAAGUCGAGUUAAUUUGUACCAAUGGUCAUUUAAAGUGUUUGCCAAAGCUUAUGGAUAAGAAAAGCAUCUGUGCAAACUGUUUAAGUGUCUCUUGUGGCUCUCUCUCUGGUUCCAGCUGGUAAGGACUGGGCACAACAGGAUGGCAAGUGUCAGUGCCAGCCCUGCAUGGUCUAUUUGCAGAGUGGUUCUGUGAGUGCAGAUGGGGUCAUCCCUUCUUAUUUUUUGGGCCUUUUUUGUUUGUAUGUCUUAUUUUCAGAAACCCAGUGUGUGGAAAAAAAAACAAAAAAGAGAGGUGGAUGAUAUUUUGCUGGAAGGCUUUUGGUGAUGAGUUGGCCUGUGGUGAUGUCUGAUGGGUCCUGGUAGAGCUGCAGCCCGAGCAGUGGACAGAGAGUGGUCAUGGUUGCAGCCUUCGGCCCAGCUCAUCAUUUGCAAUGUUUGCUUUUGUAAAUGAGAGGUAAUGAAGUGCUGGCUGCUUUUCUUCAAUGCAAAUCCAAGGUGUUUAGCCAGGUCUGCUGAGACCUCCUGACUCGUGAUUCGAUUUUGCAUGGGUGAGAUAGCUGAAAAAACUGUUUGAAUUGCAGAAGUUCUCGUAUAUGUUGGAGCCCAAAAAAAGUCUCAGGCUCUUUUAGUGGGGAUAUAGGUCACACAUACUUCUGCCUUGAGGCAGUGCAAUGAUUUCAAGUCAUUCCUGUCCCUGCCUGUGCUUUUCAAAGCAAAAAGAUGUGGGUUAACCUGUUCCCAAAGUCUUUUAUUCUCUUUUUUCCCCCAUGGCAAAAUGAAGUGGAAAAGGAUGGGAAUAGGGAAGUGAAACCUUCGCUCACAAUGGCUGUGAGAAGCAGAAAAACAUGUGAUGCCAGGAGCUGAGGUGAGGGGCUCUGCUCCCCUCCCAGCCCCAAACACAAUGCUCCUUCUGUGCCCGUGCCUCUCCCCAUGCAUCCCUAUCCUUAUCCCUGUCCUCCGGCUGCUCCAGGGCCUCAAAGUGA
rnacentral:lncRNA from 1 species